AUUGAACGCUGGCGGCAUGCCUUACACAUGCAAGUCGAACGGCAGCAUGGAAGAGCUUGCUCUUCUGAUGGCGAGUGGCGAACGGGUGAGUAAAGCAUCGGAACGUACCGUGUAGUGGGGGAUAACGUAGCGAAAGUUACGCUAAUACCGCAUACGCACUGAGGUGGAAAGCAGGGGAUCGCAAGACCUUGCGCUAUACGAGCGGCCGAUGUCAGAGUAGCUAGUUGGUAGGGUAAAGGCCUACCAAGGCGACGAUCUGUAGCGGGUCUGAGAGGAUGGUCCGCCACACUGGGACUGAGACACGGCCCAGACUCCUACGGGAGGCAGCAGUGGGGAAUUUUGGACAAUGGGGGAAACCCUGAUCCAGCCAUGCCGCGUGAGUGAAGAAGGCCUUCGGGUUGUAAAGCUCUUUCGGCUGGGAAGAAAUCGCACAGGCUAAUACUCUGUGUGGAUGACGGUACCAGCAUAAGAAGCACCGGCUAACUACGUGCCAGCCGCCGCCGUAA
rnacentral:rRNA from 1 species